rnacentral:rRNA from 1 species
UACAGAGGGUGUGAGCGUUGUCCGGAAUCACUGGGCGUAAAGGGCGCGUAGGCGGCCUGCUAAGUAGAGGGUGAAAUCCUGCGGCUCAACCGCAGGGCUGCCUUCUAAACUGUCAGGCUGGAGCACGGUAGAGGCAGAUGGAAUUCCCGGUGUAGCGGUGGAAUGCGUAGAGAUCGGGAAGAACACCAGUGGCGAAGGCGGUCUGCUGGGCCGUUGCUGACGCUGAGACGCGAAAGCGUGGGGAGCGAACAGG